UCCAUUAGCUACACUGUGCUGACGAGCCCCAAAAGGGCGAAACAGCUGUCCACAGUUUGCUAAUGUGAGCAGG
rnacentral:sRNA from 1 species